CCCAUGCAACUUGCCACCACAGAGCCAGGCCCGCGGCGACUGGCUCCUGGUGGGUAUUAAAGACGAGUCGGGAAAGAAGAGCAGGCUCAAUCAAACCUUCAAUGGCCCCGAAAGACAUCUUGAUUGAAACCUCAUGAGAGACUCUGAGCCAGAAAACCCAGCAACUUAGAACCCAGAUACCUGACCAUCAGCCACUGUGUGAAAUAAUAAAUGUUUGUUGUUUUAA
rnacentral:lncRNA from 1 species